rnacentral:misc_RNA from 1 species
GAUGAAGAACGUAGUGAAAUGCGAUAAGUAGUGUGAAUUGCAGAAGUACCGUGAAUCAUCGAAUCUUUGAACGCAAAUUGCACUCUCUGGUAUUCCGGGGAGUAUGCCUGUUUGAGGGUCGCUUAACAAACCAUCGAUUUCGUUGCUUUUUUUUUAAAAAGUGAUGUUUAUCGGAUUUGAGCCGUCUUUUUUUUUUAUAUUUAAGUGGCUUAAAAUUGAUUUUUUUGGUACGAUCGAAGCGUAUUUUUAUGAUCAAUUUUUGGUUAAAGAAACGCACACGUACCGUUAUUUAUAUGAUGUAAUACGUUUGACUAUUGGAUUUAGUUCAUUCGUAUACGAUAUUUUUCAAUAUUUGACCUCAAAUCAGGUAAGAACACCCGCUGAACUUAAGCAUAUCAAUAAGCGGAGGA